GUUGUGCUGUGCAGUUAUAGACUUGUUCCAUGAUUGUUGCGUUAUUUUUCAAUAUGUUUUUCACUUGUGUAAUCAGUCUUCAUCUUCAAUGUUUCGUGUUGAAUUCCGCUCAAGUGAACCGCGACGCAUAAUUUUACUUGAUUAAGCUGAUUUGUUCAAGUUGAAAUUACACUCUGUGAUGUUUUCUCCAGGGUGGACAUCUCAUUGUUUCUAAUUGAAUGUUGCGUCGCUUCAAAGAAAAUUCAUGCCCUUUUCUAGAACUGUGAAGUGUCAAAGUUGAUAACUAAAGCUAUUUUAAUGAUUCAUUCUUUUAUAAAGUUAUUACAUGGUGGACAAUCAUUCUAGGCAAUUAAUUCUUGCUAUUUGAAAUAUUAUUAUCCGGUGAGUACGUUCACUGAUCGUUUACCUGUGUUGGUGGUGCCAAAUGAUACCCAAUAGUCAAAAUUUGAGAGUCG
rnacentral:lncRNA from 1 species